rnacentral:rRNA from 2 species
GCGGUAAUACGUAGGUGGCAAGCGUUAUCCGGAAUUAUUGGGCGUAAAGCGCGCGCAGGCGGUUUCUUAAGUCUGAUGUGAAAGCCCACGGCUCAACCGUGGAGGGUCAUUGGAAACUGGGGAACUUGAGUGCAGAAGAGAAAAGCGGAAUUCCACGUGUAGCGGUGAAAUGCGUAGAGAUGUGGAGGAACACCAGUGGCGAAGGCGGCUUUUUGGUCUGUAACUGACGCUGAGGCGCGAAAGCGUGGGGAGCAAACAGGAUUAGAUACCCUGGUAGUCCACGCCGUAAACGAUGAGUGCUAAGUGUUAGAGGGUUUCCGCCCUUUAGUGCUGCAGCUAACGCAUUAAGCACUCCGCCUGGGGAGUACGGUCGCAAGACUGAAACUC